rnacentral:lncRNA from 1 species
GGGCAAAAUUGGGAGAAUGUUGCCCAAAACAACGGGCCAAUAUAUACAUUUAUUUUAUUUGUAUUAUUUAACCUUUAUUUAACUAGGCAAGUCAGUUAAGAACAAAUUCUUAUUUACAAUUGACGGCCUACCCCGGCCAAACCGGGACAACGCUGGGCCACUUCUGCGCCGCCCUAUGGGGCUCCCAAUCACGGCCGGAUGUGAUACAACCUGGAUGGAGGUAAGCGUUACACUUCUGACAGGUCUCAUGAUUGUAUUACUUUAUCUGAAAGUGAGAGAGUAAAUCCUAGCUGUUGUUAUUCUUUUACCAGGGUUAGACCAUCCCCCAUAUGCCAUUAACAAUUACGGGAAUCUCUAUAUGGCCAAUGGAAAUGGUGUCCCCCUGUGAAUGACCAACAAUGGAGCAAGGUUUGACUUCAGCUUUACUGUUCAACAUUCAUGGUGUGCUGAAUGUUUUAUUGCUGAACAACCAGAAUUAUUUGUCCUCUAAUCUGUCACACGUUCCUCAACAGUAAGCAAGACAUGCCAGCAGAGCUCACUGGAGCAGGAAGACUUCCCGUCCUCCUCUCGGCGCCUGACAAGAAGCCAACAUUGCUGCACAGAGGGAGGUAACCUCAACAUCCAUCAGAGGGAGGGGAUCUUCCCAACAAGCAGCGUUUCUGAACAGAGGGAAGAGAUCCUCACGAAAGCUGGUUUCCCUGUGAAGAAUAGAGACAAUCCUCCACAACCACCUCCCAUCAUCCCCAUGGUGGGACGAAAGUGGGAAUGGGAUGGUGGAGUGUGUACUAUUCCAAGAGAAGAGGUCAUUUAAGCCUUAUCUUAUAAGAAAUUAAUUUGCCAUUGCAAGAGUGUGAUAAUUAGUUGUGAUAGAUCAAAUGCCUGCUACUCGUGUGAGUGUAUGGCUGUUAUAUUUUCAUGCGUUCUCUAGCUACAUAAAAUAGGUUUAGCUCUAAGAAUCUUUGUGACUGCCGGCAGCCUGGUUGAGAGUAUCAGAGCGAGACGCUCCUAACCUGUCAGCUAGUGAUUGUUCUGUAUGGUGACAUGAGCAGAGUGGCCUGACUUCUCCUUCUUAUUAAAGAUGUCCGGAGUAGACGUUGCGCAUCCUGCUAUGAUGUCCAUCACCAAGCCAGAACACUCCGAGGCCAACCCUCGAAGCCAGACUGGCAGCCAGGCCAGUGACUGAGCCUGAGACCCCUGCUGCAAAGAACACACCAAACAAUGGUGGCUGGCUCAGCUGGUUCUCUGUAGGGGAAAAGAGGUUCAUCCGAAGGAGGCUCAUCUACCCGAGGACAAUGACAAAUCGGUAAAGAACCUGUUAUUUAUAUUCUAUAUAUAGACACUAGUGGAUUAGUGUUUUUCUCUGUGGCUUGAUGCAUAGUGUUAUUAUUUUCAUCCUCAGAUUAUCUGGGAUCCAACCCUGCACAGAUGGGUUGACAAAAUUGAGCCCAAUGCUGAGGUAUACACUUACAUUAAAUUCAAUUUAAAGCAGUGAAUGAUCAUUGUAUUUCAACUGUGAGAAUAUUACUAAUAAUUGUAAAAUAAGUUGACGUGUUUUACAGAACAAGCCAGUGCCACCACCUCCCCCAAUGGGAAUGAAUGGACAUCUGGGGAACUCUGGCAGUCUCCCCAAAGGAGAGCAGGUGAAUGUUAAUUUAGACUACAUUAGGUUUAACUCCAAGACUGUACCAGCCAAUCAUUGCUCUUUGUGGUGAUCUCCUGCUAACAUUUUCCCCACUAACUGCAAGUCUAUGGGGCAAUUAUGGACCACCACAAAGCCUCUACCCUCAUUGUGCCUAUGGCGUUGCCAUUUGAGUCUGCUCAAGAUUGCUGGCAGAAUCCUGCCCCUGGUAUUCUAUCCUAUAGAGGUAUGAUUCUGAACAAUCCUUCCAAAAAUAAUCAAUUUCAUUAACUAUGCCUUUACUUUACAGUAACAUACAGUAGCAUAUGGCUGAAGUAACAGUGAUGUUAACAUUUUGGAUUUUUCUCCCACAGGCAAUUUUCCCAGAGUGGAGUUCCUUAUAAGGGGAUUUUUCAGCAUUUUCAAAGAAUAAGACAAAUAUUUAGCAAAGAAAAAUAUUAUUUGGCAAUUGCCAAAUUAGUUCUUAAUUAUUAAAAGACUCAAGCAUUUCCCUCUCUCCGUCAUUUCAUCAUGUUCACAUAGCUUUGAUAUGUUCAUCACUUACAAGCCCAUUGAUAAUGAAAUGAAUCAUCUGUGUAGCUCCAGUUAUGCCUUAAUGCCAAACAAAUAGGGAAAAUAGAGCCAUCUAAUUUCAUUAUUAAUAUUUCCUAUGCAUUCUUUUG